rnacentral:sRNA from 2 species
CGCCCCGUCCUUGGGGAGUAGUUACCCUCAGUUAUGAGGGGCCUUCAUCAACAAGCUUGGCUUACGGGCCAUGGUGAAGGCAGCGUUUUGCAUAAAACGCC